rnacentral:rRNA from 1 species
UUAUGAAUAAGGAUCGGCUAACUCCGUGCCAGCAGCCGCGGUAAUACGGAGGAUCCGAGCGUUAUCCGGAUUUAUUGGGUUUAAAGGGUGCGUAGGCGGCCUUUUAAGUCAGCGGUGAAAGUCUGUGGCUCAACCAUAGAAUUGCCGUUGAAACUGGGGGGCUUGAGUAUGUUUGAGGCAGGCGGAAUGCGUGGUGUAGCGGUGAAAUGCAUAGAUAUCACGCAGAACCCCGAUUGCGAAGGCAGCCUGCCAAGCCAUUACUGACGCUGAUGCACGAAAGCGUGGGGAUCAAACAGGAUUAGAUACCCUGGUAGUCCACGCAGUAAACGAUGAUCACUAGCUGUUUGCGAUACACUGUAAGCGGCACAGCGAAAGCGUUAAGUGAUCCACCUGGGGAGUACGCCGGCAACGGUGAAACUCAAAGGAAUUGACGGGGGCCCGCACAAGCGGAGGAACAUGUGGUUUAAUUCGAUGAUACGCGAGGAACCUUACCCGGGCUUAAAUUGCAGAUGAAUUACGGUGAAAGCCGUAAGCCGCAAGGCAUCUGUGAAGGUGCUGCAUGGUUGUCGUCAGCUCGUGCCGUGAGGUGUCGGCUUAAGUGCCAUAACGAGCGCAACCCUUGCCACUAGUUACUAACAGGUUAGGCUGAGGACUCUGGUGGGACUGCCAGCGUAAGCUGCGAGGAAGGCGGGGAUGACGUCAAAUCAGCACGGCCCUUACAUCCGGGGCGACACACGUGUUACAAUGGCGUGGACAAAGGGAGGCCACCUGGCGACAGGGAGCGAAUCCCCAAACCACGUCUCAGUUCGGAUCGGAGUCUGCAACCCGACUCCGUGAAGCUGGAUUCGCUAGUAAUCGCGCAUCAGCCAUGGCGCGGUGAAUACGUUCCCGGGCC